AAUAGUAGAGAUGGUUCCCUGACAGGGAAGAGAGGUGUAUCUAGCUCUUGUACCGAGGACCAUAGAGGUGUAUCUAGCUACUGUACUGAGGACCAUAGAGGUGUAUCUAGCUACUGUACUGAGGACCAUAGAGGUGCAUCUAGCUACUGUACUGAGGACCAUAGAGGUGUAUCUAGCUACUGUAAUGAGGACCAUAGAGGUGUAUCUAGCUACUGUACUGAGGACUAUAGAGGUGUAUCUAGCUACUGUACUGAGGACCAUAGAGGUGUAUCUAGCUACUGUAAUGAGGACCAGCCAGGACCAUAGAGGUGUAUCUAGCUACUGUACUGAGGACCAUAGAGGUGUAUCUAGCUACUGUAAUGAGGACCAGCCAGGACCAUAGAGGUGCAUCUAGCUACUGUACU
rnacentral:lncRNA from 13 species